rnacentral:rRNA from 1 species
GAUGAACGCUGGCGGCGUGCCUAAUACAUGCAAGUCGAGCGAACAGACGAGGAGCUUGCUCCUCUGACGUUAGCGGCGGACGGGUGAGUAACACGUGGAUAACCUACCUAUAAGACUGGGAUCACUUCGGGAAACCGGAGCUAAUACCGGAUAAUAUAUUGAACCGCAUGGUUCAAUAGUGAAAGACGGUUUUGCUGUCACUUAUAGAUGGAUCCGCGCCGCAUUAGCUAGUUGGUAAGGUAACGGCUUACCAAGGCUACGAUGCGUAGCCGACCUGAGAGGGGGAUCGGCCACACGGGAAGUGAGACACGGUCCAUACGCCUACGGGAGGCAGCAGUAGGGAAUCUUCCGCAGUGGGCGAAAGCCUGACGGAGCAGCGCCGCGUGAGUGAUGAAGGUCUUCGGAUCGUAAAACUCUGUUAUUAGGGAAGAACAAAUGUGUAAGUAACUAUGCACGUCUUGACGGUACCGAAUCAGAAAGCCACGGCUAACUACGUG